rnacentral:lncRNA from 1 species
GUCCCACAUCGGCUAAUCAGCGGAAAGGUCUGUGCCUUAUAAUGAGGAGGCCUAAAACCUUUUCCUCACGAGGCGCCCCUACGGAGGACAAAACCGUGAGGGACGCCUAAGCCCCCUGUACGAGCUCCGCGCCUGCAGGUGGGUGCGCACCCCGUGCGAGCUCCGCGCCCACGGGGCCCAAAGCGGACAAUACCAUAUCGCUCUGCCGAGCCGAGCUGCUCCAGCACUCUUUCGUUCAGACGAGGCGCCU